rnacentral:rRNA from 1 species
CCUGGCUCAGGAUGAACGCUAGCGACAGGCUUAACACAUGCAAGUCGAGGGGCAGCACAGGUAGCAAUACCGGGUGGCGACCGGCGCACGGGUGAGUAACGCGUAUGCAACUUACCUAUCAGAGGGGGAUAACCCGGCGAAAGUCGGACUAAUACCGCAUGAAGCAGGGGCCCCGCAUGGGGAUAUUUGCUAAAGAUUCAUCGCUGAUAGAUAGGCAUGCGUUCCAUUAGGCAGUUGGCGGGGUAACGGCCCACCAAACCGACGAUGGAUAGGGGUUCUGAGAGGAAGGUCCCCCACAUUGGUACUGAGACACGGACCAAACUCCUACGGGAGGCAGCAGUGAGGAAUAUUGGUCAAUGGGCGUAAGCCUGAACCAGCCAAGUCGCGUGAGGGAUGAAGGUUCUAUGGAUCGUAAACCUCUUUUAUAAGGGAAUAAAGUGCGGGACGUGUCCCGUUUUGUAUGUACCUUAUGAAUAAGGAUCGGCUAACUCCGUGCCAGCAGCCGCGGUAAUACGGAGGAUCCGAGCGUUAUCCGGAUUUAUUGGGUUUAAAGGGUGCGUAGGCGGCCUUUUAAGUCAGCGGUGAAAGUCUGUGGCUCAACCAUAGAAUUGCCGUUGAAACUGGGGGGCUUGAGUAUGUUUGAGGCAGGCGGAAUGCGUGGUGUAGCGGUGAAAUGCUUAGAUAUCACGCAGAACCCCGAUUGCGAAGGCAGCCUGCCAAGCCAUGACUGACGCUGAUGCACGAAAGCGUGGGGAUCAAACAGGAUUAGAUACCCUGGUAGUCCACGCAGUAAACGAUGAUCACUAGCUGUUUGCGAUACAGUGUAAGCGGCACAGCGAAAGCGUUAAGUGAUCCACCUGGGGAGUACGCCGGCAACGGUGAAACUCAAAGGAAUUGACGGGGGCCCGCACAAGCGGAGGAACAUGUGGUUUAAUUCGAUGAUACGCGAGGAACCUUACCCGGGUUUGAACGCAUUUCGACCGCUCUGGAAACAGAGCCUCUAGCAAUAGCGAUUUGCGAGGUGCUGCAUGGUUGUCGUCAGCUCGUGCCGUGAGGUGUCGGCUUAAGUGCCAUAACGAGCGCAACCCUUGCCACUAGUUACUAACAGGUAAAGCUGAGGACUCUGGUGGGACUGCCAGCGUAAGCUGCGAGGAAGGCGGGGAUGACGUCAAAUCAGCACGGCCCUUACAUCCGGGGCGACACACGUGUUACAAUGGCGUGGACAAAGGGAUGCCACCUGGCGACAGGGAGCGAAUCCCCAAACCACGUCUCAGUUCGGAUCGGAGUCUGCAACCCGACUCCGUGAAGCUGGAUUCGCUAGUAAUCGCGCAUCAGCCAUGGCGCGGUGAAUACGUUCCCGGGCCUUGUACACACCGCC